UACGUAGGGUGCGAGCGUUGUCCGGAAUUACUGGGCGUAAAGAGCUCGUAGGUGGUUUGUCGCGUUGUUCGUGAAAACUCACAACUCAAUUGUGGGCGUGCGGGCGAUACGGGCAGACUGGAGUACUGCAGGGGAGACUGGAAUUCCUGGUGUAGCGGUGGAAUGCGCAGAUAUCAGGAAGAACACCCGUGGCGAAGGCGGCUCUCUGGAACGCAACUGACGCUGAGACGCGAAAGCGUGGGGAGCAAACAGG
rnacentral:rRNA from 1 species